rnacentral:misc_RNA from 1 species
GAAAUGCGAUAAGUAGUGUGAAUUGCAGAAUUCAGUGAAUCAUCGAAUCUUUGAACGCACAUUGCGCCCCUCGGUAUUCCGUGGGGCAUGCCUGUUCGAGCGUCAUCUACACCCUCAAGCUCUGCUUGGUGUUGGGCGUCUGUCCCGCCUUCGCGCGUGGACUCGCCCCAAAUACAGUGGCGGUCCCGCCGCAGCUUCCAUUGCGUAGUAGCUAACACCUCGCAACUGGAGAGCGGCGCGGCCACGCCGUAAAACACCCAACUUCUGAAUGUUGACCUCGAAUCAGGUAGGAAUACCCGCUGAACUUAAGC